AUAUGAUAAAUUUAAUUGAUUUUAAUUUAUAUUCGUUUUGAUUUGAAGCAUCUAUGACCAUUGCAAUCUCAAGAGUUGGUGAGGAAAGAGACGCAUACAGGUUUAGAUUGUGUCUGUGGGUAACGACUUGACCAUUUUCUCUUAUUUUCUUUGUGUGAUUUUAAUUCAAGUUCCUAUUAGGUAUAGUUUGUUCAUUUUGUUGACCUGUGCAUAUUCUUAACGUAUAUGGGUUGUGUAUAUACAUAUAUGAAUUGUAUUGAUUUUAGUUUUAUAUAUAUAUAUAUGUAUAUUCUAAUAUACGCAAAUAUAUUUGUAAUUUGGGUAGUCUUGAUUUUUAUUACGAAGAAUUGAAAGAAUCUCCUAUGAAAAAAAUAAAAACAAAAAUUAUGUGAUAUUUCAAAUCAAUCACAGAUGAAUAUUUUUUACAUGAUGAAUAUAAUGAUUGACCCUUGUUAGGUAAUUAAAAAAUGUGAGUUAUGAUUUUUCAUUUGUCAGGAAUGUCAUGUACACAUAGUGCUGCUACAAUAUUUAAUAAUUUUCUCUUAAUUAGUUAUAAUUUUUUUUUUUGGUGCUUGGAAAUAAGUUACUAGAAGAUUCAAUAUGUCAUUGAUUAUGAAACUAAUAUUUUUGUUUUUUGCAUUUUGUUUAGUGCUUUAUAAUAUGCAGGAUCUAAUUAAUAGAUAGAGUAGUUUAUAUAUGAUUUAACACCUGGGCCAAUUUUAAUUGUUAGUUUUAAAAGUUUUAACUUAGUAUUCCUUUUGAUGCUGUUUCUUUCAAUUCUAUUCUAUUAAUUUUGACUUAGUACCAAUAAGAGUUUUACUCAAUUCCAAUUAAAUUUGAAAUAUGAUGCCAAGUUAUUUUUUUGCUGGAAUAGGUUGAUAGCCAUGGCUGCUGAGCAGGUUGUAAUGAGAGAAAUGAUAAAUUUACAGGGAAUUUCAUUUUGGUGUUGCUGUUGGUGGCUUCGCAAAUAAAGAGGGACUAAACUCACCAAAAAAUGAAGUUUGAAUGAUGAAAGUUGUUGGUGAAGAAGAUAAAUGAAUGUAUACCUUAUUUUCAGCUGUACAUGGUUAUGUUAGAGAUCUAAAUUGUUUAUAAAUUGUCCUUUACGGAUAUGGAGAUUAUAUUUUGGUGCUUUGGUAAAACAAUGUAAUUACUUGGAUGCUUUAAUGAAAUUUGUGUUGAAUGUUUUCCUCUUGAUGAUACA